AACGAACGCUGGCGGCAGGCCUAACACAUGCAAGUCGAGCGCCCAGCAAUGGGAGCGGCAGACGGGUGAGUAACACGUGGGAACCUUCCCUAUAGUACGGAAUAGCCCAGGGAAACUUGGAGUAAUACCGCAUACGCCCGAGAGGGGAAAGAUUUAUCGCUAUAGGAUGGGCCCGCGUAGGAUUAGCUAGUUGGUGAGGUAAUGGCUCACCAAGGCGACGAUCCUUAGCUGGUCUGAGAGGACGACCAGCCACACUGGGACUGAGACACGGCCCAGACUCCUACGGGAGGCAGCAGUGGGGAAUAUUGGACAAUGGGCGCAAGCCUGAUCCAGCCAUGCCGCGUGAGUGAUGAAGGCCUUAGGGUUGUAAAGCUCUUUUGCCGGGGACGAUAAUGACGGUACCCGGAGAAUAAGUCCCGGCUAACUUCGUGCCAGCAGCCGCGGU
rnacentral:rRNA from 1 species